rnacentral:rRNA from 1 species
UGGGGAAUUUGGACAAUGGGCGAAAGCCUGAUCCAGCAAUGCCGCGUGUGUGAAGAAGGCCUUCGGGUUGUAAAGCACUUUUGUCCGGAAAGAAAUCCUUGGCUCUAAUACAGUCGGGGGAUGACGGUACCGGAAGAAUAAGCACCGGCUAACUACGUGCCAGCAGCCGCGGUAAUACGUAGGGUGCAAGCGUUAAUCGGAAUUACUGGGCGUAAAGCGUGCGCAGGCGGUUUGCUAAGACCGAUGUGAAAUCCCCGGGCUAACCUGGGAACUGCAUUGGUGACUGGCAGGCUAGAGUAUGGCAGAGGGGGGUAGAAUUCCACGUGUAGCAGUGAAAUGCGUAGAGAUGUGGAGGAAUACCGAUGGCGAAGGCAGCCCCCUGGGCCAAUACUGACGCUCAUGCACGAAAGCGUGGGGAGCAAACAGGAUUAGAUACCCUGGUAGUCCACGCCCUAAACGAUGUCAACUAGUUGUUGGGGAUUCAUUUCCUUAGUAACGUAGCUAACGCGUGAAGUUGACCGCCUGGGGAGUACGGUCGCAAGAUUAAAACUCAAAU